CUUCUCCAGGAGACUGAGCAGUGUACCAUCUUCCCCCCAGGAGCCAGGAAGUGAUGCUCAAAGUGAGGACCAGUAGUUCGCCAGUGAACCCUAGCCAUUCUCUGUGACAAUGAGGUCCCAAGCUCCUCCUCUGAUGAGAACACCCAAGUUCAUCAGAAGGAGUGAAAAUGUGGGAACAAAAAAUAGCAAGGGUUCUCUGGAGUGCACUGUGCCCAGCAGAAGUAAGAAAACAAAGAGAGGAAGGCCCAGUGAGCCAAAUACCUCUUAUACCAUUGUCUCUGUGCACUUUCUAGAGCUGGUUCAUAGGAGCCAUGAAAAUGGUAGAGUCCUGGCCAAUGGACCUAAGCACCUACAAUACCCUUUGUGGGCUACACUAUUUGGCAGAUCCCAAAGGAGUGAUAAAUCUCACUGUAUCAUCCUUUAACAAAAUUUACCAAAGGAUCAACUUUUAGAAUGGGCUGAGGCUGUUGCUACCUCCUUAGGACUCUUUCAAAGCAGAGAUAGAAAGAGCAUUUCCAUUGCUUUAUAUAGAGUACUCAUGAUCUGACAAUAUUUGGGGUAUUACCUUUACAGUGAUGAUUGUAUAAGUAUUAUUUUUCUGUGGCUUUACAGUGAACUAAUUGCAUUUAACAUCAUAUUAAGGAAGUCAUUUUAAGAAGCUUUAUUGGUGGAGAAAAUUUUAGCCAGAGUGUAUGCAGAAGAAGUACUGAUAUUAUGGCUUGGUUGGAGAAACAAAAACACAAGCUAAACAAGUUUGAAUUUCAUCAGUGCUGCUCCAGGGGGAGAAUAAAAUUCAUUUGGACAGAAUAUUUAAUUUCUCACCUCGAACUUUUAAGAAGUCAUUCUUUCUGUUCCACAUACUGCGUUAACAGAAAAAUACAGGUGCCUUCUAGUAAGCAAAUUCAAUAUCCCCUUGGAAGAAAAGUUAACUGACUGAGAGCUAAAAGAUUGAACAGAACUAAGGGUCUCUAACCAGAACCACCUCGAAGGACUGUCUGCCUCAGGUGUUUCAAACUACUGCAAGUGAGCAAUGACUUAGCAAUAUAGGUGAGAAAGAAAAUGACAAUUCAUAGGUCAGGCUGAGGCAUAUAUAUUAUCAAUCUAAAAACUACAGCCUAUAAACUGCAUCUCUGCUCUACUUUUUUUCAACUGUUUCUUAAUUUUGUCUCUGCCAACAAGAUAAACUUCAUUCCCAUAGUUCAGAACCCAAUCAACAAAAUAGGAAUGCAGAAAUGUAAUAGAAAUAUGGUUACAUGUGAUACAAGGAUUGAGACGUAAAAAGGAGACUGUAAAGUAAUACAAGGAUUAACCAAAGCAAGAGCUGCCACCAGCCUGAAGUGGAAGAUCAUGUAUACAAUUAUAACUAAAUAACUGGAUUGACUCACUAAUACCUACUCCCAAUAGUGUAACUGAUAUCCAGGUAGUGGUACUUGUUUAUUUUAUAUAUCAUUCCUCCCUAUCAUAUUCUCUUUCAUGAGAAAUUUACCACCUGAAGAGGAUGAUUUUGGAUAGUGAUUGCUUUAUGAAGUAACAGUAGUUUGUCUUCAAUGAAUUAAAAAAAAUAAUCCAUGAGAGCAUAAUACCCCUGUGAAGGAUGCUGUGGCUAUCAACAUCAGUGGUUUAUUCCUGAAGCUUUAAUAAAACAAACUGAAGAAAUGAAAUGUGGUAUGUACUUUCAUUUACUUCCAGCCGGUCAAAUACAGAGUGAGGGUUCACGUAUCUUCAAAAUUUCUUGCUGGUGCUUUUGAAUUUCAGACUUCUGCUGCAAGACUUUUUCAC
ensembl:lincRNA